rnacentral:rRNA from 1 species
UGGGGAAUAUUGCACAAUGGGCGCAAGCCUGAUGCAGCCAUGCCGCGUGUGUGAAGAAGGCCUUCGGGUUGUAAAGCACUUUCAGCGAGGAGGAAGGUGGUGGACUUAAUACGUUCAUCAAUUGACGUUACUCGCAGAAGAAGCACCGGCUAACUCCGUGCCAGCAGCCGCGGUAAUACGGAGGGUGCAAGCGUUAAUCGGAAUUACUGGGCGUAAAGCGCACGCAGGCGGUUUGUUAAGUCAGAUGUGAAAUCCCCGGGCUCAACCUGGGAACUGCAUUUGAAACUGGCAAGCUAGAGUCUCGUAGAGAGGGGUAGAAUUCCAGGUGUAGCGGUGAAAUGCGUAGAGAUCUGGAGGAAUACCGGUGGCGAAGGCGGCCCCCUGGACGAAGACUGACGCUCAGGUGCGAAAGCGUGGGGCAGCAAACAGGAUUAGAUACCCUGGUAGUCCACGCUGUAAAACGAUGUCGAUUUUGGAGGUUGUGCCCCUUGAGGCGUGGCUUCCGGAGCUAACGCGUUAAAUCGACCGCCUGGGGAGUACGGCC